CACGCUCACAGCCUCUCAUGGGACAACAGCUGCAGCGAGCUGCACAAUCACAGAGCAAGUGCAUCAGCAGCCUCAAGCGACCUGCUGCAUGGACACCUCAGCAACCAUGCGCCAUUAGGGAAGAGCCCACAGCAGCAAUAUUCAUAAAUAUCGACUGGGGUCCCUCCGGACGUGUUCUAACCAUUCGCUGCUGCGGAAAGAACACAAGGCGCAGCAGCAGGUCUGCAGGAUGCGGGGUGUUGUUACGGAGCAUAUUUAAUUAGCAGCUGCAGCAACGAUCGCGUCGUGCAAGUUGAUUUUUUUUUUCCUGUUCUGCAGAUUUGCCUUUGCAACACCUGGAGCGACGCCGCUGCUCCUGAUCCGCGCCGCCCCGGCCCUUCAUCACAGCAGCUCGGCGUCGCCUCCCGUCACCCUGCAGGUUUACUGGUCGGCUCGCAUGUCGUUUAAUCUGCAGGGGAAGCGUCUUAAUUCAGGCCAGCUAAUCAAUCCUGUUGGGGUGUUAACUAAUUACAUCCUCCCGGCCCGGGAACAACAGCAGUUGAGAUCAUCAAGACAGUUCAUUUCCUGGAAAGGUGGUGCUGAGCACUCGUACGUAGAUCUAACAGUACGUGCUUUGUCUACAUUUUAUGUGUGGCUUGCUUCAAUAUAAAGCAGAUUUUGACAAGUUAAUUAAAUAUUCUAAAUAUUAAGUAUUGCAUUGUCGAACAACAUAAAUGUUAAAUUCUGGAUCUCUGCUAAGAACCAGCCUGAUGCUGCAUGACAGCAACACGACAAUGUGGAUUGCUGUCAAACUGACACUUUCCACUUUUUAGCCAUUAGUGUCUGUUCCAUCCUAAUGAUUUGGGUGAAAUAAGUCAAGUUGUGCACAUUUGUUACCACUAGAAGUCACAUCCUAACAGGUUUUUAAACAUUUUCCAAACUUUGUGUGUUGACAAGCCUCAACUCGCACGAGAAGUUUCCUUUUAGGGUUUGAUAAUUCCCACAUUAAAAAUUAAGUCAAGUUGACGUGUUUAGACGUUUCUGGAAGCACAAAAAGCCUGACGAUGAUGCAGAAUGUCAGGCGGACGCGCCACACCGACACACAGAGACUGUAAAUUAUUGAUUUUAUCAUUUAAGACUCACCUGAAUCUACUGUGUUAUUGCUACUGCCGCGGCAGGUUUGUGGAUUUUGUACAUUCCCUCAUUAAUAAGUGAUCUAAACCGCAGCUGUCGUGCUGACUAUUAAACACUUGCCUCCACCGCACUUGAUAUUCGAGGCGAUAU
rnacentral:lncRNA from 1 species